rnacentral:lncRNA from 1 species
CUCUAUUCUGUCUCUUUUUUUUUUUUUUGCAAUGUUAUCUGUACAUUCAAAAAUAAUAUAAAUUUGACACUUUAUUUAUUUACAAACCAAUAUUUUUUAUUUUAAAAUUUUAAAAAAGUGUCAAACUCUUCAAUGCUUAUUCGUGGCAAUAACCUAAGGCCCCGUUUGGUUCGAGGGAUAAGCGGAGAUAACGAAAGUUAUCCCUGCUAUUCCGCCAAACUGGGUGAAAUUUGGCCGGGAUAUUUUAUCCCAGUCAAACCUUGAUAUUCCCGGUUAUUCCGGAAUAGCAAGGGAUUUGCUAUUCCACAAUUUUGGUGGAAUAUCACUAUUCCAAUGCUUAAUUUCAAACUUAAUUAAAAUUAUAAAUUGAAUUAAAACUAAAUUAAAUAAAUAUAAUAUGUUAUAUAUUAUAAUACAUUAUUUUUAUUAUAAAAUUAUUAAUUGUACUAUAUUAAUACAUAUUAUUUAUAUUUAAAUAUUAUAAUAAAUUUUUUAAUAAAUUAUAUUUAAAUAUUAUAAUAAAUUUUUUAAUAAAUUAUAUUUAAAUAUUAUAAUAAAUUCUUUUUAUUAAAUUUNAAAAAAAUUAUAAAUUUAUUAUAAUAAAUUAUUUUUAUUAAUUGUUGACACCCUUAUUCAUUACUUUUUAUUUAUAAAACCCAUUAUCUUUCUUAUUCCAUCUUACAUAAUCAAACGCUAUUUUUUUAUUCUCAGAAAUAACCCAAUUUUAAUCCAAACGUAAAAUUGAUCUAAUUCCCGCUUAUACCUCAAUUUAUACCUAUUCCUGAAAUAGCCACUUUUUACUUAUAAUAUAUAACAUAUUAUAUUUAUAUAAUUUAAUUUUAAUUCAAUUUAUAAUUUUAAUUAAGUUUGAAAUUAAGCAUUGGAAUAGUACUAUACCACCAAAAUGGUGGAAUAGUAAAUUCCUUGCUAUUCUGGGAUAACUGGGAAUAGCAAAGUUUGGCCGGGAUAAAAUAUCCCGAUAAAACAUCAUACCGUUUGGCGGACAUUAUCCCGUUUGGCGGAAUAGCGGGGAUAACUUUCGUUAUCCCCGCUUAAAAAGUUAGAUAUAAAAUUUGUACCUCACAUUUUAGUGUGUAAGCAGUAUUUCUCUUUCUCUCGCUCUCCCUCUUUCCCCUCAGAUGCUUCUAUUAGUUUUCACUAGUCUUGCUUGGCUCAAUUCCUUUUAAUGAUGGUGAUGGAUGUAUUGUUAGUAUACGGACGAAAUUUUAGUGGGGAGCUUUCAAUGAUACCGCAUUGAGAAGAUUUGGAUCUGCUGUCAUAUAUCAGUUUUAUCUUUUAAUUUUAUUCAAAAUUUAAAAAUAUCUUUUUGAAUUUUAGGAUAAAGACAUAGCUAGUAUUGGGGGAAUAAAUUUUAUAUUUUAUAAAAAUAAAAUAUAUUUUUUUGGAUA